AUGGUCAACCCCACCAUAUUCUUCGACAUCGCCAUCGACUGCGAACUUUUGGGCUACGUCUCCUUCGAGGUGUUUGCAGACAAAGUUCCAAAGACAGGAGAAAACUUUUGUGCUCUGAGCACUGGAGAAAAAGGAUUUGGUUAUAAGGGUUCCUGCUUUCACAGAAUUAUUCCAGGGUUUAUGUGCCAGGGUGGUGACUUUACACGCCAUAAUGGCACUGGUGGCAAGUCCAUCUAUGGGGAGAAAUUUGAUGAUGAGAACUUCAUCAUGAAGCAUACAGGUCCUGGCAUCUUGUCCAUGGCAAAUGCUGGACCCAACACAAACGGUUCCCAGUUUUUCAUCUGCACUACUAGGACUUAAUGGUUGGAUGGCAAGCGUGUGGUUUUUGGCAAGGUGAAAGAGGGCAUGAAUGUUGCACAAGCCAUGGAGGUCUUUGGGUCCAAGAAUGGCAAGACCAGCAAGAAGAUCACCAUUGCUGACUGUGGACAACUCUAA